rnacentral:rRNA from 1 species
UACGGAGGGUGCAAGCGUUAUCCGGAUUUACUGGGUUUAAAGGGUGCGUAGGCGGGUCUUUAAGUCAGUGGUGAAAACUCCGAGCUUAACUCGGAAACUGCCAUUGAUACUAUUGAUCUUGAAUUCAGUUGAGGUUGGCGGAAUGUGUCGUGUAGCGGUGAAAUGCUUAGAUAUGACACAGAACACCGAUUGCGAAGGCAGCUGGCUAAACUGAAAUUGACGCUGAGGCACGAAAGUGUGGGGAU